GAAAACGUUUGGUUUCUCCUCCUUCUCCGCUUCUCUUCUUCUCCAUAUCUCUGUAUCUCAACUCUCAAGUUCUCACCUUCAAUUCUUCUCCGAUCCAUUUAAAAUUCGACGAGUUAGACAAAGAAAUCACUAUAAAGUAAGUUUCAAUUUUGUUACUAUGUUUUCUUUUUCUUUGUUCUUCUUUUUUUGUUGAAUCUCCGGUGAUAUGACUUUUCGCUGCCUCUCUCUCUUUCUAUUUUUAUUAGUAAGUGUGAGACAACAAACUUGAUUUCAUGAAUUUUGAAUUAUUUCCUACUAUUGUUUUUCUCAAAAAUUGAUCGUACUUCAUAAUUAACCAGGUAGAGGUAUGGUAUAGCAGGUUUCUGUUGAUAUAAUUUGGGGGAAAUUAAAAUGUGUGAUAUGGUUUCUCGAAUUGUUGUGUUUACUAGUUUGAUAAGAAUUUGAUCUUUAGCUCAAAUGGUAGAGCACUUGAGAUUUAUGAUUUAUUUCCAAUUCAUCUCAAGAGAUGGUGGUUCAAAUCCAUCAAGAUUAUGAACGCAAUUGUCUUUAGUUUUUAUUCCAACGAUUAUUCACAGAAAAACUUUCUUUGAUUUUUCGAAGGAAUGCCAAAUUUUUCCAGCGAUUUGGAUUGAAGCAAGGAAUGCCAAUUUUGCUAGCUAUAUUUUUAUUUGUAUCUCUUUUCUUAAGUUCAGUACUUGGAAAAUGUUUUUAUUUGAGCAAAUGUGUGAACGACGUGAUAUUGCAGAACUACAUUAGGGGGAUCUAUAUUGCCUUGGAUUAUAUGACACCAGCCAUUCUGUGAACUGCGAAGAGGUGUUGUGGAAAUUGUUAUUCUAUCAAUUUCGGGCUCGGGCGCCAAUUAUUCUAUCAUACCAAUGUUUUUUCUUUCAGCAGGUUAUGACAGAGUUCAUUUGCUGGUGUUAUUGAUUGUGAUAACUUGUUGGAUAAAUGCAGUAAUGUGGAGCAAUUGUUGAGCCCCUCACCACCACAUAGGUUUAUAAUUUCUUGACAUAUUAUGUUUAUGUUUUAACUCUAUGAUGUAACUCAUAUGGCUAGGGUGAUGUAUUUAGUUUUUAUUUGAUAAAGUACAUCCUUCUGUUAUGUGAAACCUUAUCACGGAAGCUGCUAUUAAUAAAG
rnacentral:lncRNA from 1 species